UACUGCCGAAGACGAGUCUUACCGGCCUCACCGUUGUUCAGACCCUUCAGCGCCUUUCGUCUUUUUCUUUCUUUUUUGGCUCACAAACCGAACAGAAAAAUUAUUUUACCGAACCCUCAAAAAUCCUCAUAGCAGUUUAUUGCAAAAUCAUUGCCCUGUAGCUUUUUCAAUUUCUGUCUGCUACCCUGUUAAUCAUUCCUAAAUAUCUUGCUAUUUGAUUUUAAUUUUUGUUGUUUUCCUAAAUUUUCUCUGUUCCAAAAUUUUGAUUUUCUGUCUCGUCCGAUGUGCAUCUGAUCCGUCGAUUUGGCAUCGUUGUAGUUGUUACCUUCCCUUCUCUGAGCUUUCGGAGGAUGUUCGCGAGAUGACGAACGAAGGAAGUAAUACUGAGACGUUAGCUCCUGGGGAGCCCCAUUUAUUCGAGGACUUGGAGUCAGAGAAGAUGAUUGGCAAAGCUAGGAUGCUAGAGGGAUUGUACUGUGUGGAUGCUCAACAAUUGUGGACUCAACCAAGUGCUUCCAGUUUUGCUACUGGAAAAUCUCUUCCAUCUGUUCUUACUGAUAAAGAAGUGUUAUUAUGGCAUUAUAGGUUAGGACAUCUUAGCCCAAAGUAUAUGUCCAGAUUGUUACCUGAUUCUUUGAAUAAAAAUUUUUCAUCUCUAUCCUGUGAAGUU